rnacentral:rRNA from 1 species
UACGAAGGGGGCUAGCGUUGCUCGGAAUCACUGGGCGUAAAGGGUGCGUAGGCGGGUCUUUUAAGUCAGGGGUGAAAUCCUGGAGCUCAACUCCAGACUGCCUUUGAUACUGAAGAUCUUGAGUUCGGGAGAGGUGAGUGGAACUGCGAGUGUAGAGGUGAAAUUCGUAGAUAUUCGCAAGAACACCAGUGGCGAAGGCGGCUCACUGGCCCGAUACUGACGCUGAGGCACGAAAGCGUGGGG